rnacentral:rRNA from 1 species
GAUGAACGCUGGCGGCGUGCCUAAUACAUGCAAGUCGAGCGAACAGACGAGGAGCUUGCUCCUCUGACGUUAGCGGCGGACGGGUGAGUAACACGUGGAUAACCUACCUAUAAGACUGGGAUAACUUCGGGAAACCGGAGCUAAUACCGGAUAAUAUAUUGAACCGCAUGGUUCAAUAGUGAAAGACGGUUUUGCUGUCACUUAUAGAUGGAUCCGCGCCGCAUUAGCUAGUUGGUAAGGUAACGGCUUACCAAGGCGACGAUGCGUAGCCGACCUGAGAGGGUGAUCGGCCACACGGGAACUGAGACACGGUCCAGACGCCUACGGGAGGCAGCAGUAGGGAAUCUUCCGCAAUGGGCGAAAGCCUGACGGAGCAACGCCGCGUGAGUGAUGAAGGUCUUCGGAUCGUAAAACUCUGUUAUUAGGGAAGAACAAAUGUGUAAGUAACUAUGCACGUCUUGACGGUACCUAAUCAGAAAGCCACGGCUAACUACGUG